GUAUCUGUAGCUCAACUGGAUAGAGUUUCAGCCUCCGACGCUGACGGUUGCGAGUUCAAACCUCGCCAGAUACACCA
rnacentral:tRNA from 1 species